UGGAAGUAUCUCAUUCAGAGAAAUAGCACAAAAAUAGAAGACUCAGAAAGCUUGGCAACACCUUGGGAAUUGAAUAUCUGCAGUAGUGUCCUCGCCUUCAUCUACCUCACAGCAUUUCAAUGCAGUUCACUUGCUGCACUAGGUAAGAUUCCUCCCUCACUUAUUUCCCUCUUUGUUCAGCCUUUGAAUGGACCUAUAAUUCAAGAAAUUGACAGGGAGCAUGAAAGGAUUGGAAAGGCAGCAGAUGGAGUGGAGGGAGGAGGGAAGCAGGAGUCUGGAAAUGGCCUGGAGGCAGCCACUACCUGGUGGCCUAAGCACACAGAUGCAUUGCCUGACUUUGAAGAAGUUUAUACACAUAUUCUCAUGAAUAUUCUCAUAUGACAGUAAUAUCAUACAGUUGCAGAGCACGUUGCAAACAUCUGAAAGAGGUAAUAGAGAAUGUGAGGCAGCCUGGACUUAAGUAUUAUUAAGACUACAAGUGUAAAAACUUAAAUAAUUUACUGUAAAAUAAUCUGUGGGUUUUUCUGUGGGCUUUUA
rnacentral:lncRNA from 12 species